AGGCCGUUUUUCGUUCCAGAUGUCAAGAUUUCUGCAUUCACUGGUGAUAAAUUCCUCUACCUCCACCCCGUGGGUCACCUCCAGGUCGGAGAGGCUUAUCCGUGAGGCGUUCAGAGGUACCGAGUCUUUGUGUUCAGCCGCCAUUACUUCCUCGUCUAAGAGGGAGGAGUCUAAAGACCCGCCAAGGAACUGGAAGGCAGGUAUAACCACUUGCGGGUCCAGAAGGUGGAUUUUGACAAAGAGAGCGUUCAUUUCUCUGUUAUAGUCCGCCUCCGUGCACUGUCCUCGCACUAUACGGAACAUCCACAUUAAAGUCCAGCGAGGCUCCAUAAUGUGGGCCAGGAGUUUCUCUGCCCAGACGUGCCUAAUGAACACGGCAAGAAACAAUUGUUACAGGUUACUAGUACAUGUAGUUAUGUAUUGAUUUACAUGCAACUGAAUUAAUUCAUGCAGGUUGAAUAUGGUCAAAUUCGGAUAUUUUACCCAUUGUCGUCGAUGAAAUCUCGUAGACAGACCCCCGUUUUCUGGUCUCUGACCACAUCUGGAUAUGUCAACGAGUAGAGACAGAAACCUGCAAUUUUAAUUCAAUUGUUAUAUCAAUGACGUGCUUUAUUGUUAUUGCAUUAAAAAUUAAUUUAUACAGUAGUUUAUAAAACUUUUUCUCUACCUAUGAUAUCAUUCAUUUUACACCUAAAUAUUGCUCCCUUCAAUUCAAAAUUGCUUGUUGAAUGUUAACAUGUAUAUAUUGUGUAUACAAUAAAGUUUAUUCUGAUUUG
rnacentral:sRNA from 1 species